AGUGCCAAGGAUCGAAACUGGGGCCUCGUGCAUGUUAGGAGGUUGCUGUAAAAGCCAGUUCAGCUGUCUUGCUCAUGUUCCCGACUCUCACCAUUAUGAUGGCCCGUGGAGCCUUGGGACUCUGCCAGCAUAAGGCCCCAAAAUGUAGUUCCUCUAACUUAAACUUUAAUUGUAACUAAAACAAACUUUUUUCUUUAUAAUGUGCUCAGCCUGUGGUAGUAUGUUAUUCACUACAUAAUUUGUAGUAAACCACAAGUCACAUUCAACAUCAGUGGUUAAUUUGGGGUGUGGAAAUAUUGAUAAAUUAUUUGUUUUCUUCAUAUCCUUUGCUCUUUUAUUUUAAAGUAUGAGUAUCAUGUGGUUCUUAUUAGUAUUUGUGUUGUUUUAUCUUGUCUUGAUUUUAUUUACUUUAUAAUUAUUAUAUUUUUGAACAGAGUCUCAGGUAGUCCAAGUUAGCUGAAAAUUUUCUAGGUAACCAAAGACAGUCUUGAAGUCUUGACCCUCCUAGCUCUGUCUCUUUCAACACAUGGUGUUGGGAAAACUGGUAGAAGUAGAAAAAUGAAAGCAGAUCCCUAUCUCUCACCCUUUAUGAAGAUCAACUCAAAGUAGAUUAAAAAAAAGAAAAAACAACUAAUGUAUGACUUAAACCCUGAAACUACUACAAGAGAAGGUUGUGUUGUGGGGAAGACUUCAAAAUAUAGGCAUAGGCAAGGACUUUCUGGAAAAGGGCUCUAUCCAUUCACUAUGCCAACAACUGACAAACAGGACUGCAUAAAACCAAACAUCCAGUACUCAAAAUAUAAAGUACAAAUGACCAGUAAACAGGAAAAAAUGUUCAAUAUCACUGGCUAUCAGAAGACUGCUAAUUAAAUGUCAUCAAGGGACUAGGGGGUGCAGCUUAGUUGGUAGAUUCCUUCCCUGGCCUGCAAGAAGUCCUGGGUUCAAUUCUCAGCACCUCACGAUCACAUAAACUUGGUGUAGAUGUACAUGCCCGUGAUCUUGAAAUUCGGGAGACAGGCAAAAGAAUCAAAAGUUCAAUGUCAUCCUCAGAUAUAUAGCAAGUUCAAGGCCAGACUGCACUAUAUGAGACAGUCUCAGAGGGGAAAAAAGUCAUUUACAGGAAAACCAUACAUCCUGAGAUUAUCAUAGUAAGCAAAUUGAGUCAAAUCAAUAUCACACUAGAGGGCAAGAUCACAGCAAGUUUGGGGCUCUUAUGUCCUAUGUAGCACGACUAUCUGGAAAAAGAAUAAAGAAAAAAAUAUUAUGUUUUGAAAA